rnacentral:rRNA from 1 species
UUUUUGAGAGGGGCAGUCUGGUGCCAGCAGCCGCGGUAAUUCCAGCUCCAAUAGCGUAUAUUAAAGUUGUUGCAGUUAAAAAGCUCGUAGUUGAAUUUCGGGGUUCUACCGUUGGUCGGGCUUUGUCUGUACUGAUGUGUAGAAUUUCUACCUUCUGGGGAACCAUCAUGUUAUUAAUUUAGCGUGGUGGGAAACCAGGACCUUUACCUUGAAAAAAUUAGAGUGUUCAAAGCAGGCUUAUGUCUGAAUACAUUAGCAUGGAAUAAUAGAAUAGGACGGUGGUCCUGUUUUGUUGGUUUCUGAAUCACCGUAAUGAUUAAUAGGGAUAGUUGGGGGCAUUAGUAUUCAAUUGUCAGAGGUGAAAUUCUUGGAUUUAUUGAAGACUAACUUCUGCGAAAGCAUUUGCCAAGGAUGUUUUCAUUAAUCAAGAACGAAAGUUAGGGGAUCGAAGACGAUCAGAUACCGUCGUAGUCUUAACCAUAAACUAUGCCGACUAGGGAUCGGAC